AUGAGGCGCAGGCCAUCCUCUCAGGGCCACCAGAAAACCGAACCUCAGAAGGCAUCAAGCUGGCCAUGCUGUCUUUGCAGGCAACAGUCAGCACUUUCUCUGAAUACCCAGUCCACAUCCAGGAAAAACUGGCUCAGAUGGGUUGGUAUGAAUGGUAAGUUUGCUGUGAUGCCACUGGAGAUGAAGGUAAAUGUAUGGAAAUUCCCAUUGACUUCAGUGGGUGCUGUGGAAACAUAGUUGAUGGCAGAAUUUCAUCUCGAAUAGGCAAAAGAUUAAGGGAAAACAGGCAGAGAAGCAGAAAACAGGAAUCAAGGAGAGGUAGUAUAUAAAGGAAUAGGCAGUCAUUGAAAAUUGAUGGAGAUUAAAACAAAGGAGGCAAGUGCUGUGAAAUUAAUGAAGUAGGCACAAGUUAAAAUAAUUAAUUGAAUGACUCUGAACCCUCAAGGUCUGCACAUGAGCUAGUUCUAACUAUGUAACAAUGUGCUCUCAUUGCUGUUACUUUUGUUCUUUCCUUCCUAUUAUUUGAUAUGUCUCGUCACAUCUCCUCUUAAAUUAGGCCCCAAUUCUGCAACUGGAUCUGAGCAGGUGGACAUUUUUUUUCCAGUCAGCAGGUUUCCGAAUGGGUGCUACGGGUUGCCCAUGCAGACCCAAUUGCAGGAUUUGGGCCUAAGAUCAUAACCUCUUCAGGCCAGGGACCAGGUCUUCCUAUGUUUUCACAGAGAACCAAAACAACUGGAUCCUGAUUCUGACCUGGGUCUUUGGGCACUACCUCAACAGAAAUAACAUCAUCAUCAUCAUCAUCAAUAAUCUAGCAAUAAUGUGUCUACCAAACCUUAGGACUGAUUGAAGAUGGUUGUAAACCAUAACAUUUAGCUCAGACUUAAACCCUUCUCCCUAGCUUUCAGUGUAUUCUGUUUUAAUGUUGCCAGCUCUCAUGAUUUUGUCACAAGUCUCAUGUUAUUUGGUAUUUUCUUAAAGCUCAGGCCCCAGAUUUCAUUAUAAAGAACUAGGGCUGUCAAGCGAUUAAAAAAAGUAAUCGUGAUUAAUCGCAUGAUUAAUCGCACUGUUAAACAAUACUAGAAUGCCAUUUAUUUAAAUAUUUUUGGAUGUUUUCUACAUUUUCAAAUAUAUUUAUUUCAAUUACAACAGAGAAUACAAAGUGUACAGUGCUCACUUUA
rnacentral:lncRNA from 1 species